rnacentral:rRNA from 1 species
GACCUCAAAUCGGGUGAGACUACCCGCUGAACUUAAGCAUAUCAAUAAG